rnacentral:rRNA from 1 species
AUUGAACGCUGGCGGCAGGCCUAACACAUGCAAGUCGAGCGGAGCGGCGGACGGGUGAGUAAUGCCUAGGAAUCUGACUGGUAGUGGGGGAUAACGUCCGGAACCGGGCGCUAAUACCGCAUACUAUCAGAUGAGCCUAGGUCGGAUUGGCUAGUUGGUGGGGUAAAGGCCUAACAAGGCGACGGUCCGUAACUGGUCUGAGAGGAUGAUCAGUCACACUGGAACUGAGACACGGUCCGGACUCCUACGGGAGGCAGAGGUGGGGAAUAGUGGACAGUGGGCGAAAGCCUGAUGCAGCCAUGCCGCGUGUGUGAAGAAGGUCUUCGGAUUGUAAAGCACUUUAAGUUGGGAGGCGUGACCAACAGAAUAAGCACCGGCUAACUUCGUGCCAGCAGCCGCGGUAAUAC